rnacentral:rRNA from 1 species
UACGAAGGGUGCGAGCGUUGUUCGGAAUUAUUGGGCGUAAAGGGUUCGUAGGUGGGAAGAUAAGUCAAGUGUGAAAUCCCUGAGCUUAACUCAGGACGUGCACUUGAAACUGUUUUUCUUGAGUAUUGGAGAGGGUCGUGGAAUUGCUGGUGUAGGAGUGAAAUCCGUAGAUAUCAGCAGGAACACCAGAGGCGAAGGCGGCGACCUGGCCAAAUACUGACACUGAGGAACGAAAGCGUGGGGAGCAAAC